rnacentral:lncRNA from 1 species
AUAAGGGACAAAGAUGUGCCUUCUAGCUUUUGUAACUUAUACCACCCCAUUGACAAAGUCAAAGUUUAUAUUGUGAAUAUAAAUGAUGCCUCAAUUGUGUGAAUUUUAUAAGCAAUCAGAAUGAUGAUUUUUGACUUAUGGAGGUUAAAACGGUUGAAAAAAAUGACGUAGACUUACACUGAAAGAGGGAGCUGAAUCAUGAGACCAUAAUAUUAUAGAGACUUGGCUCUCCUAAGCCCUUUUUGAAUAGAAAUAUAAUAAUUGGUUUGUUUAUUUGCAGGGUAUUCCUGGACCUAAAGGAAGCCAGGGGCUGCCAGGACCAAAAGGAGAUAAGGUACAUUUAGUAUUCUUUUUUUUUUUUGUCAAUAUUGUACGGCACACACGCACACACAGGAUGUUUCAUUCUGUUUCCGAUCUCAGUUUCCUAGCAAGCAGAUGUUUUCUGAUUUCUAAAAACAACUCACAAAUUUCUUUGCAU